CAGCAGCAGCAGCAGUCGUGGGAAAAGAGAUCUGACAGGAAGAAAGAAAGGGGCAAGACGGCCAGACGGCCACUUCACCUCUAAAGCAACUGACAGCUGCUUUCCAUUACUUUAUCUCCAGCAGGAGGAGAUGACUCAAAAAACAAGGCCUUUGAAGAGGCCCGACUGGCAGCGGACACAUCCAACAUUGAUACCAAGGUGGAAAACAAAAAGAAAACCAUAGAAAGGCCUGCCAGAUUUGACAAUGAUUAUUCCACCCAUGGUCACAUUGAAGCCCACCUGUGAUAUCUUCACUGCUGGGUGUGGCUCACAGCUCUUCGGCCAGCAUCAACAAUGACCUGGACAAGAAGGUGAUAGGACCGCUUGUUUUGUUACUAUCGCUGGUGCAGUGACCCAAAUUUUUAAUUGUUUCAAUAAAUUUUGUCAGGAGAUCAGGUACACAAAAUUCAGCGCAUCUCAAACACAUUUCAGCAAAUCAUGUUGAUUACAUAUGACUUGGAUACAUUUGAUAUUCCACUCUGCCCGCAAAGGUGAUCAAGGAACCUGCUCUUCUUAGGCACUGUGUUAGAGAUGAUGCAACGGUUUAUGGAGGAGCCAGCCAAGAGACCCGGGUCCACAGAUGUGUUGAAAGUAUCAAAUUGCUAUGUUAAUAUGCUGUGAGAAACUGUCAAUUUGUAGGACCAUUUGUUAUUGUUUUCAUUUUAUCUGAUUUUAAAGAGAAUUCAUAAUUUGAAAAAAGCUUUGUCAACAUAUCAUGGCAAGUUUGAAUUUGUGAAAACAGGUGA